rnacentral:rRNA from 1 species
UACGGAGGGAGCUAGCGUUGUUCGGAAUUACUGGGCGUAAAGCGCGCGUAGGCGGCUUUGUAAGUUAGAGGUGAAAGCCCGGAGCUCAACUCCGGAACUGCCUUUAAAACUGCAUCGCUUGAAUCCAGGAGAGGUGAGUGGAAUUCCGAGUGUAGAGGUGAAAUUCGUAGAUAUUCGGAAGAACACCAGUAGCGAAGGCGGCUCACUGGACUGGUAUUGACGCUGAGGUGGCGAAAGCGUGGGGAGCAAACAGG